rnacentral:rRNA from 1 species
UACGAAGGGGGCUAGCGUUGCUCGGAAUCACUGGGCGUAAAGCGCACGUAGGCGGCUUUUUAAGUCAGGGGUGAAAUCCUGGAGCUCAACUCCAGAACUGCCUUUGAUACUGAGAAGCUUGAGUCCGGGAGAGGUGAGUGGAACUGCGAGUGUAGAGGUGAAAUUCGUAGAUAUUGGGAAGAACACCGGUGGCGAAGGCGGCUCACUGGCUCAUUACUGACGCUCAUGCGCGACAGCGUGGGGAUCAAACAGG